rnacentral:tRNA from 1 species
GCGGGAGUAGCUCAGUUGGUUAGAGCGCCGGCCUGUCACGCCGGAGGUCGUGGGUUCGAGCCCUGUCUCUCGCGCCA